rnacentral:rRNA from 1 species
CCCCGGGGGCCGGGACGGCGGGCCGUACGUGGCGGACGGGUGGNGGUAACGCGUGGGCAAUCUGCCCCGUACCGGGGGAUAACACCUGGAAACAGGUGCUAACACCGCAUGACAGGCGGGGGCGCAUGCCCCGGCCUUGAAAACUCCGGUGGUACGGGAUGAGCCCGCGUCCGAUUAGCCAGUUGGCGGGGUAACGGCCCACCAAAGCGACGAUCGGUAGCCGGCCUGAGAGGGUGGACGGCCACAUUGGGACUGAGACACGGCCCAAACUCCUACGGAAGGCAGCAG